rnacentral:rRNA from 1 species
UUCAGUGUAGGAAUACAUGGGUGGCGACCGGCAAGCGGGUGCGGAACACGUACGCAACCUUCCUUCAGGCGGGGAAUAGCCCAGAGAAAUUUGGAUUAAUACCCCAUAAUAUUUUGAGAUGGCAUCAUCUUAUUAUUAAAGCUACCGCACCUGGAGAUGGGCGUGCGGCUGAUUAAGUAAUUGGCGGGGUAAUGGCCCAACUAGCCUACCAUCAGUACCUGAUGUGAGAGCAUGAUCAGCCACACGGGCACUGAGACACGGCCCCGACUCUACGGGAGGCAGCAGUAAGGAAUAUUGGUCAAUGGACGCAAGUCUGAACCCAGCCAUGCCGCGUGGAGGAUGAAGGUCCUCUGGAUUGUAAACUUCUUUUAUCUGGGACGAAAAAAGGGUUUUCUAACUCGUCUGACGGUACCAGAUGAAUAAGCACCGGCUAACUCCGUGCCAGCAGCCGCGGUAAUACGGAGGGUGCAAGCGUUAUCCGGAUUCACUGGGUUUAAAGGGUGCGUAGGCGGGCAUUUAAGUCAGUGGUGAAAUACCUGAGCUUAACUUGGGAACUGCCAUUGAUACUAUUUGUCUUGAAUGUCGUGGAGGUUAGCGGAAUAUGUCAUGUAGCGGUGAAAUGCUUAGAUAUGACAUAGAACACCUAUUGCGAAGGCAGCUAACUACGCGAAUAUUGACGCUGAGGCACGAAAGCGUGGGGAUCAAACAGGAUUAGAUACCCUGGUAGUCCACGCCCUAAACGAUGAUUACUCGACAUUAGCGAUACACUGUUAGUGUCUGAGCG